rnacentral:rRNA from 1 species
AUUGAACGCUGGCGGCAGGCCUAACACAUGCAAGUCGAACGAGUGGCGGACGGGUGAGUAAUGUCUGGGAAACUGCCCGAUGGAGGGGUAUAACUACUGGAAACGGUAGCUAAUACCGCAUACCAUCGGAUGUGCCCAGAUGGGAUUAGCUAGUAGGUGGGGUAACGGCUCACCUAGGCGACGAUCCCUAGCUGGUCUGAGAGGAUGAACAGCCACACUAGAACUGAGACACGGUCCAGACUCCUAAGGGAGGAAGCAGUGGGGAAGAUUGCACAAUGGGCGCAAGCCUGAUGCAGCAAGGCCGCGUGUAUGAAGAAGGCCGUCGGGGUGUAAAGUACUUUCAGCGAGGAGGCGUUACUCGCAGAAGAAGCACCGGCUAACUCCGUGCCAGAAGCCGCGGUAAUAC